ACGAACGCUGGCGGCGUGCUUCACCCAUGCAAGUCGCACGGAAAGGCCCUGCUUGCAGGGUCCUCGAGUGGCGAACGGGUGAGUAACACGUGGGUGAUCUGCCCUGCACUUCGGGAUAAGCCUGGGAAACUGGGUCUAAUACCGGAUAGGAGCCAUUUUUAGUGUGAUGGUUGGAAAGUUUUUUCGGUGUAGGAUGAGCUCGCGGCCUAUCAGCUUGUUGGUGGGGUAAUGGCCUACCAAGGCGGCGACGGGUAGCCGGCCUGAGAGGGUGGACGGCCACAUUGGGACUGAGAUACGGCCCAGACUCCUACGGGAGGCAGCAGUGGGGAAUAUUGCACAAUGGGCGCAAGCCUGAUGCAGCGACGCCGCGUGGGGGAUGACGGCCUUCGGGUUGUAAACUCCUUUCGCUAGGGACGAAGCUUUUUGUGACGGUACCUAGAUAAGAAGCACCGGCUAACUACGUG
rnacentral:rRNA from 1 species